GGUUCCGUAGUGUAGUGGUGAUCACCCCGGACUUUGAUCCGGUAACCCGAGUUCGAACCUCGGCGGGACCU
rnacentral:tRNA from 1 species